CGUCCUCCUCUCUGGUUUUGCUGAUUCCGACGGCGUCGGCUAGACCUACAGGAUAUCUGUGGCAUUUGUUCUUAUUAGGGUGUCAAUGCUGGCGAUGAAAAGAUUAUUAAUGCUCUUAUUUGGGUGUCAAUGCUGGAAGCUGCUCAUGAGAAAUGUAACUUGAAGGUAUAAUAUAUCUAUUCAAUGUCGAGCCUCUGUCCCCCUCUUCCAAAAGUUUGCUUGAUCGCGCCCGCGCCAUGGCCGCCGAGCUCCUUUUUGCUCCACCCGCCAACCAGAUCGGCCGAUGAGGCGGAU